CUGCCCUUCGAUAACGAACGAGACCUUAACCUGCUAAAUAGUUAGGCCAACGUUUGUUGGUCGUCAACUUCUUAGAGGGACUAUUGACUAUUAGUCAAUGGAAGUUUGAGGCAAUAACAGGCCUGUGAUGCCCUUAGAUGUUCUGGGCCGCACGCGCGCUACACUGAUCAAGUCAACGAGUUUACAACCUUGGCCGGAAGGUCUGGGUAAUCUUUUGAAACUUGAUCGUGCUGGGGAUAGUCCAUUGCAAUUAUUGGACUUCAACGAGGAAUUCCUAGUAAGCGUGAGUCAUCAGCUCGCGUUGAUUACGUCCCUGCCCUUUGUACACACCGCCCGUCGCUACUACCGAUUGAAUG
rnacentral:rRNA from 1 species